rfam:Metarhizium anisopliae BRIP 53293 unplaced genomic scaffold Scaffold_20, whole genome shotgun sequence.
GGCAACAUGGCCGAGUGGUUAAGGCGAAAGACUCGAAUCUUAGCACAUAAGAAAGUUGAUCUUUUGGGUUCGCCCGCGUCAGUUCGAAUCUGGCUGUUGUCG